rnacentral:rRNA from 1 species
UGGGGAAUAUUGCACAAUGGGCGCAAGCCUGCUGCAGCCAUGCCGCGUGUUUGAAGAAGGCCUUCGGGUUGUAAAGUACUUUCAGUCGGGAGGAAGGUGUCAAGGUUAAUAACCUUGGCAAUUGACGUUACCGACAGAAGAAGCACCGGCUAACUCCGUGCCAGCAGCCGCGGUAAUACGGAGGGUGCAAGCGUUAAUCGGAAUUACUGGGCGUAAAGCGCACGCAGGCGGUUGAUUGAGUCAGAUGUGAAAUCCCCGGGCUUAACCCGGGAAUUGCAUCUGAUACUGGUAAGCUAGAGUCUUGGAGAGGGGGGUAGAAUUCCAUGGGUAGCGGUGAAAUGCGUAGAGAUGUGGAGGAAUACCGGUGGCGAAGGCGGCCCCCUGGAAAAAGACUGACGCUCAGGUGUGAAAGAGUGGGGAGCAAACAGG